GCCUGCCAAGGACAUUUGACUGCUACUGUGCUACAUCAGACUUGAGCUCAUUACAAGGAGCACUAAAGGCUCAGCAUCAUUUAUUUCAUGGCUAAGUCAAUCUGUGCUGCUGGGGCUCUAGAUUGGAUAAGGAACAGGUUCCUGCAGAUGGAAAUGGCCUGGGAAGAGAAAAUAAAAGCUGCACCAGCAGGGAGAAGCUGGCUGUCCAAACUUACAGGAACUCCACUAAGACUGCAAGAGGAGGCACAAAUCUGCAUUUUUUGGGGGCUGGGAAAGGCUCUGCUGAGCUUUGGGGCUGUGA